UGGGGAAUUUUGGACAAUGGGGGAAACCCUGAUCCAGCCAUCCCGCGUGUGCGAUGAAGGCCUUCGGGUUGUAAAGCACUUUUGGCAGGAAAGAAACGUCGCGGGUUAAUACCCCGCGAAACUGACGGUACCUGCAGAAUAAGCACCGGCUAACUACGUGCCAGCAGCCGCGGUAAUACGUAGGGUGCAAGCGUUAAUCGGAAUUACUGGGCGUAAAGCGUGCGCAGGCGGUUCGGAAAGAAAGAUGUGAAAUCCCAGAGCUUAACUUUGGAACUGCAUUUUUAACUACCGGGCUAGAGUGUGUCAGAGGGAGGUGGAAUUCCGCGUGUAGCAGUGAAAUGCGUAGAUAUGCGGAGGAACACCGAUGGCGAAGGCAGCCUCCUGGGAUAACACUGACGCUCAUGCACGAAAGCGUGGGGAGCAAACAGGAUUAGAUACCCUGGUAGUCCACGCCCUAAACGGUGUCAACUAGCUGUUGGGGCCUUCGGGCCUUGGUAGCGCAGCUAACGCGUGAAGUUGACCGCCCUGGGGGAGUACGGUCGCAAGAUUAAAAACUUAAAUGAAUUGACGGGGUCAUAGC
rnacentral:rRNA from 1 species